AUGGAUCAUUCCUUACACACAACUCCAUAAUUUAUUACACUCCUAUGUAUACGCUUCUAACUGGAAGACUUAUUAAGGGAUAGAGACUUAUUUAUUCUGAGUUAGGUGAUAUUUCAGUUUGUCUUUUUUAAUAAAUCUGCAUACAUUUCUAAAAUGCUGUGUUUUUCUGUCAAUAUGGGGUGCUAUGUGUACAUUAAUGAGGAAAAAAUGAAUUUAAUAGAUUUUAGCAAAUGGCUGUAAUACAACAAAGAGUAAAAGAAUUGAUAGGGGUCUGAAAACGUUCUGUACCCUAUUUAUACAUAUAUACAUUUUUUAUUUUUAUUUCAUUUGUAACAAACACAUUCCAAAGGUCUCUGGAAAAGUAUUGCACACGAUAAGAACAGAGGGAAAUAGAAGCACCAAGUCCCAGUUGAAGCCUACAAUGUGAUGCUAGCACUCACUGCUAUAAACAUUACACACUCCACGCUGCAGCCUCAUCUUCUGCCCUGCAGUAAAGAAUACAAAAUUAAACUACUUGACUGAAAUGUUACUGCCAAGUCCAACAGAGACUGCAUAUAUCCAGGAAAAAUUGCUGAAAGCACACCAGUUAAUAUGACACCGUCCAUCACAGUUUCCACAAGGGUUCUUAAAAAAUACUCUAUUUCACUUUAUAACAGACUGCCUCCAUUUGGAACCAAUGUCUUAAAGGAGACAUAACAUGAAAAACCCACUUUUUUAUCCAUUAACACAGUGUGUUUCACAUUUUAAGUGUCUAAGUGAGCAAAAAGGCUUAUAUUAUUCACUGGAGUUGCUAUUUAGAUAUUUAAUGAUUAAGUUUUGGGCAUAUUUGUCCACCCGUUCAGUUUUUACAUUAUCUAUUACAUCAGUAAUUAAUUUAGUCAGGAUAACUACCAAAUAUGGUAAUGGCCCUCGGCUAAACACAGAGCCAAUCCGCCAUUUUUUCUUCUCGCUAAGAUUUUUUGUAGUCCUAUUGGAAAAAUGCAGAAUGUCUGGUUAUUUUAGCCACACACAGCUCAAAACUGUUCCUCGUUUUAAGGAAGGGUGGUGUGGCAGUAUUUAAACCCAGGAGCUGAUGACACUACUGCUAAAAAAACACAGAAGAAAAAGUUGUGUGUUUGUGUUUGUGUUUGUGUGUGUGUGUGUGUGUGUGUGUGUGCGCGCGCGCGUGCGCGUGGUUCGUUCGUUCGUGUCUCCAGGCUAGUAAGUACUGAGGGUUCAUCUAUCUAAAAGGAGUCAUUUCCAUCUGAAUGUGGCAGCACCGGGACACAGCAGCAGAGCGGUAAGCUUCAUAUCACUCUAAAAUGUCGACAAACUUUACUUUAGAUUUACGGGCAUUAGCAGCACUAAAGCGUUAGCAUCCGGCUUGCUAUCGCUAGCACAGUAUGCUAGUAAAGUUAGCACCCAGAUUAAUGUGGAUUUGGCUGAUUUUCGUGGAAUAAAACGUGAUUUCUGAUCAACGCCUUCUUUUACACCAGAUGAUAACCUCCCACUGAUUGUAACAGCAGAGAGCCUGUGUGUUAUUCUACGUGAGUGUGAUGUAAUCUUAGCAUCCAGUAAAUAAAGUCCCAUAUCAGCUAAAAUGCAGCGUGACAAAGUCAUUAAAGUGCGUCAACACAGUGGAUUUAAUAGAGUUUUAAAGAACAAUCUCUGAGUGGAGUGAGGUUAGUUUUUUGUCUCACUGCAGAUAUAAAAACUAACUUUAUCAGUCAGACGCAGCAAAGCUCACCGUCUGUAUGAGCGUGAGCAUCGGAAAGCUGAUAAAAUUGGCUGUACAAUAAUUAAAACAAAAGUAAAAAUGCUCCUUUGCUUUUUAGAGUCCACAUCCAGAAGACUGGAGCCGUGUUUCUCUGACAGGCUGUCAGACUAACGCCCUGAUGAGCUCAGCUGGGACAAACUGGUCUGAUGUUUAGGAACACAGAACGUUCAGAUGUUGGCGUUUCACGUCACCUACUGAGGAAGGAGACCCACCAGUAAAGAGAUGGUAGCUGGACCAGACCAAAGUGAGUGAUGACACACCUCAGCCACCCUCAUCAUUAAGAACACCUCACCCCCUGAAUCACUCCGUCUGAUGACAGCAGAGUGAUUUAUUUGAUGUUUUACUUGUUUAGUCUGUUUAGAAAUUAUUGAAUUACAUUAUUUUCUGUAAUCGACCAUCUGAUCUGGAUGUGUGCAGAAUAACUUUCCCCAAAUUCAGCAGCAGCUGGCCUACAAAAACAGCUGCAGCAUGUAGUAAGUCUGUCUGCACUGCUCUCUAAUGAGCUUCCUUUCAUAAGGAAUCAUUUGUAUAAUUUUAGUGUCACUAUUUUAUUACAUUUGUAAGAAUAUGAAGUCACUGCAGCAAAGUGAACUUGUGAACAAACACAAACGUGACUAUAAACAUGAAAGCUAAAGAAACAACUUUCCUAAAGCUGCUUGUAAACAAAAUAUGUCAUUAAAGUUAUUGUCUAUCAUUGCAGAAUAUGACGAUGACAUCAUGGAACUGGUCUUUGGAAAAGUUUUCCCUGAACCAACUCCAUUUCUAGAUGAGGUAGAGAAGAUCUGCAUCUCACCAACUCUCUGGUCUCAGUAUUCAGACAACGGAGGUCUCCCACUGUUAUCCAGGACCAGUUUGAAGCCCACAUACUGCCCCUCCCUCAUCAUCAGGAAACAUCAAUCGGUAUCCUGAGGACAACAGAAGACGGCAGGAGGACAGGAACUCUGAGACCUAGAUACACCAGCACCGAGACACAAAGCACCUGUGUGCACAUUGCCUGUUUAACUACUAAAGCCUGUUUAUUAUAUUGUUCUACUUAUUUGCUGUGAGGUUAAUACUUAGAAAAUUUGUAUAUUAAUGUAAACAAUUUAAAAAAAUCACUGAUUGUAUGUUUUCUUUUAGAUGUAAUGGUCCAAACUCAGCCUUGUAGACAUUUAUUGCAUCCUGUAGGUAAAUACACAGAACAGGCUCAGGUCCAGGAUGACCCAGCAUGCUCUUCUUCCAUUCUGGCUGUUAGGGAUUUUAUCAAUAACUCAAUGCCUACUGAUGUUUUCACCUAACGGUAUUUAUUUAGAAUGGAGGUAAGAUUUAACUAUAUUUGUUAGCAAAGCAGACUGAUCUUGGGAAUUUCACUGCAGCACUGAUGUCCACCUGUGUGUACACAUUAGAGAGAAUCACCACUUUACAGUUAAACACAUUUAAUAAAGAUAUAGGCUACGCAUUGCAGACAAUAAAAACAAAGUUUUAAGCAUUAGAAUUAUAAUGAUCACAUUAAAGAACAUUUGGAGGAAUGUUCUUUAUUUUUGACUCGAAUCUCAAAUCUUUAAAUUAAAAUGUAACUGCUUUUUAUCCAUUUUCAGCCAUUAAGACACCCAAUAUAAAAAAAGACUACUUAUAAAAUUAUUUAUAAUUAUAUGUAUGUAUAUAUAUAGAUAGAGAUCUUAAUAAAAUGUAUUCUUUUAAUGGUGUUUUAAUGAGCUGUAUCAUUUUUUAAAACAUUUUUUAUAGAAAUAAAUAAGCAAGCAGCAUUCCUUGUGUGUGUGUGUGUGUGUGUACGCGCGCGCGCACGUGCCUGCUAGCUUGUCCCUCCGUCGGCAGUGACGGGUGUGUGUGAGUGACUACAGACAAAUGCAUGAGAGAGUUAGCAGCCUUGAAACAGCUUGAUGAACUACCCUCCCCACAUGUUUUAAAAAUGCUAAUAUGCUAUGCUAAAUCUGCUAUGCUAAAUAAUGAUUUCUCUAUAGAACUACAAAGUCCGACUGGGGGAGGAGAGUACAGGUCUGCACUAUGGAGGGGGGGCGGAGUUUACAGCUCCUCCUCCAGUUUAAAGAGACAGUACCCAAAAACGGCUCGUUCUCAAGACUCUCCUCAGAACAGGGGUAGAUGAGGGUCUGUAGAGCAACAAUAAUGAGGAAAUCAGACCAAAGAACUGCAGUUCCACUGUAUUUAGACCCCAACUGAAGGAUUUAGAUGUAAAAAGGAAUAACUUAAAAGCAUGUUAUGUCUCCUUUAAUGAGACUGAAGCACUCAUGUUUACAUCUUGUUUCAGCUUAUGAUGGCAAGUUAGUUUGUUGACACCAACAUUUUUGUGAGUACCCUCUGAGGGAUCCUGAAGACCACUAAUGACCCUCGUACCACUAUUUGAGGACCAUAGUUUUAGAAAUAAAGGAAUCAGAAGACUCUUGUAAUCAUUGCACAGUCAGCUGAUGGUGUUAAAAUCAAACAGGAAGUCUCAUCUGAACUAUUCUAAAAACUGUUGUGAGGCAAACUUUUUAUUAGUACAUUCUAAAGUACAUUUUAAAAACCCAACCGCUCAAAUUAGGACAACAUUAAAACGAUGUUCAAACAAAGCUCAUGAAAUAUUACGGAUUGUUCUGACACUUUCAUCCUAAUUAAAUGCAGUAGUACACUAUAUUGGUGGGUGGAGGACACUUCUGUCCAAAAUGUAGAAAAGCAUCUAAUUAGCUGUGGGAUGGGAAGCCAAAUGAGUUGGCUUGUCUUUGGCAACUUGCUGCCUUGUAUCUGCAGAAAAGUUCCAUUUGUUUGUGUAACGCUGGUCCAACAAAGAGGAAGAUAAAAGUUGUUUAUCCUUCACCUAGCACCAUUAGCUGAGCAUCUUUUAUCUCGGUGUAUCCAUCCUUUCAUCUAUCCACAUGUCUGACUUUUUUACAUAAGGUAAUUAUGCAGUAAGGUAUCGCAAUCCAUCCUGAGCCAGCCAUUAUCCUGUUCCUGGUCCAAUCUCACUUCCAGAUGUUUCUCCAGAGGCAGGUACAGCCAUUACAGCUGCUCAGUACACAGUAGCAGCCUCCCUGGAGGCGCUGGACUGUGAGAUGAGGCGCAUGCAUUAAUCUCACUAUUAGGAAUUCAACUUUCAUCUGGGGAGCAGCAGUAGGAAUAAAAGAAACUUGCAGCUGAAUCUCUGACAAUUAUCUGAGCUCUAGUUAUAGAGCAAAGAAGUCUCUCGUAUUUAUGUGGAACCAGGCAGUUGGUAUCGUACUGAGAUACUAAGAAAAACAUUUGUUAAGUUCAAACAGUGUCGUUUCUUUGUUCUCACUUUCAUUUGGGUUUCUGAAACACAGCCAGCUGACAUCAGCUUUGGUGUCUUUUCGAGAAAAGGGGCGAUGUGAGCAGUGCAAGAUUUGACUAAGUUAUUAUCUUUUCUGUGUUUUUAUGACUUCUGCAGUAUAGGUGUCUCAGGGUACUUUUUACUUUAAAGAUGUAGCCGAUAAACUAAACAGUUGGCAUCUUUCUGACACUUUUGCAAUAUUUAUAAUGUGGGUUUGGAUUUUCACAUCCUAACGUGCUUACAGCCCUAUGGUGUCUCUUCUAGUUGGUAAAUUUUGUAUGAUACUGGAAUGAAAUGAGUUUUAUGCUCCACAGUGGCGGUGACUCCAUAUAAUCUUCUUAUCCUACAAAUUGCAUCCAAAUCUUUUCCCAUUUAAAAAGGAAAUUGUAGCACCCUGCCUUUUCUCCAUUUAAUACGAUCAGAACAUUUUGUUCUACUUCAGAAAUGUGUUGUUCUUGUUUUACAUUUUAGCUGCAUUGACGCUGAACAUCAGGACCAACCACACAGUGGAAUUCUAGUCUUCAUGUUCAGUGUGUAUAUGUUGAAAAGGUACUACAGGUUCAUGGAGUACAAACAAAUAUUUUAUCUUUUAUUUAGAAUUUAGGUUUUUAAAGUGGUAUUUUACUGAAAAACAUUUUAAUGAUUAUUUCUGGUUUUAAUUGGCCUCUUAAGUUUUUCAUGCAGGCUGAACAUGAAAAUAGUCUCCCACACCUAUCUCUUGCAUUAACUUCUGAGAGAAAGACGGUGAAACACUAAGAUUAGAAAAGCCUGACAAAUCUAUGUCACACUGUCACUUAAAAUUCAUGGACUCACCAAUCUUGACUCAUGAUGGGGAAGGCUGUUUUUGGUUUAACUUCGAAGAAACAGCCAAGAACGUGUCACGUAGCAUAAGCUAACCAUUAGCAUUAGCAACUUCACCACACGGCAGAACUCCUACCGGCUUGAGUUAUUUGUGGAGAUAAAGUAUCCACUAAUUUAAGGACCACUUUAAGACCUAAUGUAUAAGAUAAACAAAACUUUUCUGUUCCUGCUUACACACAAACACAUAUGUACUUUAAGGACAACAAACUAGCAUUGAAUUUUCUCUAUGUAGUCAGCUUUUUCUAAGUAACAGAGAUACUUGUCUAAAAAGACUCCUUCAUUUCUCCUCUCUUGGCUAAAAGACAGAGAAGCUAUCUGCGUCAUAUCCAUCGACAUAUAAAUAUUGGACAAUUCCUUUCCAUAGACUCCAGUAACACGUUUUUGAGGCCAAAUGGGAGGUGGCCACCACCACCAUUUUGACCGUGUCACAGGUUCCGUCAAGCCCAGACAAUUUCACAAAAGGGAAGAGAGGUGGAGCUGAGGGUGGGGCUGUAAGGCUGGGAUCGACUGACGACACCCGGUCGAACUAGCUACAAGCUAACCUGAAGCUAACCCAAAGCUAAUGCGGAGGUGGGAGCUAAGCUAACGGAGGUAGCAACCUAGCUACAACCGGAGUUAACUGUGCACAACACCAGAGCUUCUGUGUCAGAGAUACGCCAAGCUGACCGCUGGGUAAAACCGGGUGGAACAAAUAGGUCUCCCGAGACCUCCAGAAGCCGGCAGCCGCACAGCAGGCAAGCGCCACUGUGAUCUGAGAUGCCGCUGGGGAGAACCAGGUGGAACGGUUUCCAACCCAGAGCUCCUCAAGCCGGCAGCCCGCGCAGCAGACAGAAGCCGCGAUUAGACAGAGAUGCGCCGAGCUGCGGGGAGGGGAGAAACGGGUGGAAAAUAUCGGUCUCCCGGGAGCUCCACAAGCCGAUAAUCGGAACCCAGCUCCACCAACAUGUUAUAUUUCAACCCAUUUUCUAAAGUGCAGCAUUAUGUUAAAUGCACUGGGUUUUACCCUAUUGCAUUUAAAUUUCAUGGUUAAACAGUACAUGUUAAAAUCUAAGCUCAGCUCGGUGUCAGACUCGAAGACUGGUUUCGGGAGUACGAGCUUUAUUAGAGACUGCUGGCUGCAAGCGGUGCUGGAAAGGCUGAUGGAAGGAUGAGGUCUGAGUUAAAAAGGUGGAGGUUCAGCUGUAUUAGCUUCUGAAUACUCUGAUCAUGGAACACGGUGGAACGAUGACUGAGUGAAGAGCCGGUGUGGCGUCUUCCAUAUAUAGACAUGGAUGACGCAGGUGCAACGUGGAGGGAAUCCCCGCGAGGGGCAUGCUGGGUAAUGUGGUCAGAGACAGAAGCCGGUCAGCUGGGAGAGCCCGGCCUGGGGGCUUGGACUCUGACAGGACCCCCCGGUCCAGGGACGGCUCCCGAAGUCCCCGGGCCACCUCGGUGGGCCCAGAAGUCCGAGAUGAGGGCAGGGUCCAAGAUGGAGUGGGCCGGCUCUCAGGAGCGUUCCUCGGGGCCGUAGUCUGCCCAAUCCACAAGGUACUGCCAACCCCGACCCCGAGCGUCCAGAAUGCGCCGGACAGUGUAGAUGGGCUCACCGUCGAGGAAGCGGGCCGGUGGAGGUAUUAGAGCCCGAGGCGGCAGGAGUGAGGAUUCCACAUAAGGCUUGAGCCGGGAGGUGUGGAAGGUGGGAUGGAUGCGAAGGCUUGUAGGCAGCCGCAGCCGGUACGUGUCCGGGUUGAUGACCUUCUGCACGGGGUAGGGUCCGAGGAACCGGGGAGCAAGCUUCCUGGAACCGGCACGGACCCGGAGGCCUGCUGUGGACACCCAGACCCUGUCCCCUGGAGCAUAGAAGGGACCCGGGCAGUGCCUGCGGAGGUGUUGGAGGGAGUAACGGGCGUUGGCCCGGGUGAUGGAGGCCCGCGCCUUGAUCCAUGCAUUCUUGCAGCGCCUCACCAGGGAUUGAGCGGCCGGCACUGCAACUUCGGGUUCCUGGUGGGCAAAGACCGGGGGCUGGUAGCCAUAGCAGACCUCGAAAGGGGACAUCUGAGUGGCCGAGGAGGUGUGGAGAUUAUGAGACAGCUCCGCCCAGAGGAGGUACUUAGGCCACUGCGAGGGCUGGGCCGAGACAAAGCAGCGGAGGUACCGGCCCAACUGUUGGUUUGCCCGCUCCGUGUGACUGUUGGUCUGUGGGUGGUAGCCCGAAGACAGGCUGACAGAAGCUCCCACUAGAUGGCAGAAGGCUUUCCAGAAACGGGCCGUGAACUGGGGACCACGAUCCGAGACCACGUCGACCGGGAACCCGUGGAGACACACCACGUUCUCCAGAAACAGUUCUGCAGUGCGUUGGGCUGAGGGGAGGCCCGGGAGGGCGAUGAAGUGAACAGCCUUGGAAAACCGUUCAGUGACCGUCAGGAUGGUGUCGAGGUCAUUGACCAGCGGAAGACCCGUGACAAAGUCCAGCCCCACAUGGGACCAGGGGCAGCUGGGCACCGGAAGAGGUCUGAGGGUGCCAACCAGAGCCUGGGUGGAUGCCUUAGAGUGGGUGCAGACGUCACAGGCGCUCGUGAAUUCACUAACGUCCCUCUCCAUACGUGGCCACCAGAGAGCCCGUUUAAGGAACCUGAGAGUCCGAGAGAAACCUGCGUGACCAGACAGGUGUGAUGAGUGGGCCCAGGACAACACCUCACUGCGACAGGCCGAGGGGACGUAGAGCCAACUGGCGGGGGUCUCUGACGGCGCUGGGUCACCCGGGAGGGCGUUUUGGAUGACCUCCUCCAACGGCCGCCCAAGGUGGGCCACAAAACGGUGCUCCGGGAGGAUGGGCGCCGGCUCGGACGUGGGCGCUGAAUGGGAGAACCGGCGGGAGAGGGCGUCCGCCUUCUGGUUCUUUGUCCCGGGGCGAUAGGCGAGAUGGAACUCGUAGGGUUUGAAGAAGAGGGCCCAGCGUGCCUGGCGAGGAUUUAACUGCUUGGCGGACCGUAUGUGGGUUAGGUUCUGGUGGUCAGUCCAGAUGGUGAACGGCUGAGUGGUGCCCAGAAGCCACUGCCUCCAUUCCUCCAAUGCCCAUUUUAUGGCCAGCAGUUCACGAUCCCCCACGCCGUACUUCUGCUGGGUGGUGGAGAACUUCCUGGAGAAGUAGGCGCAGGGAUGUAGCCUGUCGUCGGGACCGCCUUGGGACAGGAUGGCGCCGACAUCCAAGGCGUCGACCUCGACCACAAAAGGGACUGCCUGGUCCGGGUGGCGCAGGAUAGGAGCCGAUGUGAAACGAGCGACUAGGUAGUGGAAGGCCCGAACGGCGUGUGGGGUAAGCCAGAACGAUUGACCAGGAGGAAUCGGUCGGGUGAGAGAAGUGAGAGAUGCUACAAUGGUGCUAAAGUCUUUGAUAAAUCGAUGGUAGAAGUUGCAGAAACCCAGAAAACUCUGCAGUUGCUUUAGGCUGGUAGGUAGGGGCCAGUCCUUAACCGCCUGGACCUUCUGAGGGUCCAUGGUUAGACCUUGAUCCGAAAUCAGGUAGCCCAGGAAUGAAACGGACCGCUGGUGGAAGGAGCACUUCUCGGGCUUGCAGAACAGGUUGUUGUCCUGGAGCCGGGUCAGGACAGCGCGAACAUGGUGGUGGUGAUCAGCCUCUGACUUGGAGUAUAUCAGGAUGUCGUCCAGGUAGGCAAACACCCACCGUCCCAACAUGUCACGGAGGACAUCAUUGAUGAAGCGUUGGAAAACGGCGGGGCUAUUGCACAGUCCGAAGGGCAUGACCUGGUACUCCCAGUGACCGGUGGGGGUGAUGAAUGCCGUCUUCCACUCAUCUCCAGCUUUGAUACGGACCAGGUUGUAGGCGCUCCGGAGGUCCAGCUUGGUGAAAAUCCGCGCCUGGGAGAUGGCAUCCAGGGUGGAUGUGAGGAGUGGCAGAGGAUGGCGAUCUCUGACUGUGAUCUUGUUCAGUCCUCAGUAGUCGAUACAGGGGCGGAGAUCACCCUCCUUUUUCCUCACAAAGAAGAAGCCUGCGGCACCUGGGGACGACGAGGGUCGGAUGAAACCCUGCCGGAGGGCCUGGUCGAUAUAGUCCUCCAUAGCUCUGGACUCGGCGGGGGAGAGAGAAAAAAGGCGCCCCCGGGGUGGACUGGUUCCUGGCUGGAGCUUGAUCUCCAUGUCGUAUGGACGGCGAGGCGGCGGUGCGGUGGCUCGCUGCUUAUCGAACACCGCGGCCAGAUCCCGAUAGGCCGGUGGCAGAUUGGGUGGCGCCGAACCGGAGCCACCUUCCGGGCAGUCAGGUCGAGGUGGAGGAGGAGAGAGGUGGGUCCGGCACUGGGCCCCCAUUCCAGAAGGCGAGCUUGGGACCAGGAGAUCCGUGGGUCAUGGAGGCGGAGCCAGGGAAACCCCAGGAUUAGAGGAGAGGAGGGAGCAUGGAUGAUCAGGAAAUGGAGGGUCUCCCGGUGGCCCUGGACUGUCAUCUGGAGAGACUGCGUUCGGUUUUGGACAGGGUAAGCCUGGAGGGGCCUGCCGUCCAUCGUGGUCACUGGUACAACCCUCUCCAAGGGGGUAGUGGGGAUCCGUAGGCAUUCAGCCAGAUCCACAUCCAUGAAAUUGUCAGCGGCCCCCGAGUACACCAGCGCAUGCAUCUGGAGCGAGGUCUCGCCAUAUUGGAGGGUGACGUGCAGAAGGAGCCGAUUGGAAAGGGCAGGGGUUGGAGGUGACCCAGGCUGAGCGACCCCGGGACUCAGUGGGUUCCUUCGUUUCCCGAACGGAGGGGGCAGUUCAUGCGUCUGUGGUCGGGGGAACCACAAUAGGCGCAGAGGCCCUCGCGCCACCGUCGCUGUCUCUCCUCCGGAGGAAGGUGGCCCAGUUGCAUGGGCUCCUCAGUGGCAACGGGUCCGGGAGUAGGCGUGGGGGGACGAGGAAAAAGUCCAGGCGCUGUGGAUGGGCGAAUGAGAGGCUUGGGCCGAACCAAAACCCGCUGACCCAUGCGCAACGCCAGAUCCACAACUUCAUCCAGGGUCUGGGGUAGCUCCUUUCCCACCAUCUCAUCCCGGAUGUAGGUUGCCAGUCCCUCCAAGAAGACAGCUCGAAGGGCAGAGUCAUCCCACCGCUGCUUGGCGGAGAUGGUGCGGAACUCCGACGCAUAUGCGCACACAGAGCGCUCCUUCUGGCUGAGUUUUAGGAGUCGUGUCUCUGCCCCCAUUUCGCUGCUGGGUGGAACAAAAGUCUUUCUGAGGGCGGCCACGAAUGCAGCGUAGUCAUUGCACUCCGGAUUUGGAGAUGUAGAGCGCAGCGGCCCACUCUGCCGCGCGUCCGGAGAGCAGGGAGUUGAGCUGUGCCACCCGAGAGCGCGCAGUGGGGAAGCGUCCUGGGUGGCACUCGAACUGCAUGUCGAGGGUAGCAAGCAGACCGUCUGGACUCCCCGUCUCUCCAUUCCACUUCUCUGGGAGACUAAAGUGUGGCUCUCCCGUCGGUGGAGUGAGGGCUUGCAACUGGAGCGCAUGAACCUGCUGCUGGAGUGCCGUGACGGCAGUAGACAUUUGCAGGGAGAGAUCGGUCUGGGAGUUCAGCCUGGUGUUAAGCCGGUCGACCAGGGCGUGGAGCUGAAUGUUCUCGCUAACAACCUGCUCCAACUUGCUCUUCAUCUGCUCGAACUCCGCUGGAUUAAUGGACUCAGUCAUUCUGUCAGACUCGAAGACUGGUUUCGGGAGUACGAGCUUUAUUAGAGACUGAUGGCUGCAAGCGGUGCUGGAAAGGCUGACGGAAGGAUGAGGUCUGAGUUAGAAAGGUGGAGGUUCAGCUGUAUUAGCUUCUGAAUACUCUGAUCAUGGAACACGGUGGAACGAUGACUGAGUGAAGAGCCGGUGUGGCGUCCUCCAUAUAUAGACAUGGAUGACGCAGGUGCAACGUGGAGGGAAUCCCCGUGAGGGGCAUGCUGGGUAAUGUGGUCAGAGACAGAAGCCGGUCAGCUGGGAAAGCCCGGCCUGGGGGCUUGGACUCUGGCAGUGACCUAAAAUACAUACAUAUAAUUUUACUUACUGAAAAAAAUCAAGUGGAGACUCCUUGGAUGCUCUAUUAGUGCAAUUAAUGCCACAGCAAGUCAUUUUGUCCAACAAUUGCACAAAUAAUAUCCAAAACAGAAUACACAAACACAGAGACUCAAAAUCCCGGAAAAAUUUCCAAGCCAGACCGAGGCUCUACUGAGGCCUUUCGGUCACGUGGGUCUGAUGCUCAUUAAUUAUACGUAAUUUUAGGCUUUUAAUACACUUAAACAGAAGAGUGAGAAAAAAAUUCACCCCCCUCAGAGUUGUCAUGAGUGUAAACUAGAUCAUUUAAACCAAAAACUUGUUUUGGUACCAGGCUGUAAACAUGUUUAUUUCUGCUGUGAAAUUGGUAUUUUUAACAUGGGAGUCAAUGAGGAUUUGCUCGCUUCUGACACCAGCCCCCAGCGGAUGAGGGUGGAACUGCAAUUUUUGGUACUUCCGGGUUGGCCUCAAUUUUUGAGCCGCAUUGUGGGGGCUUGGUCAUAUCUCAAGUUCAAGAUCUCUAACUGGCCCCAGGGGAAACCAUUAUCUCAUUUGAUGUCAUUUCUCUCUUCAUUAGACAGCAUGGGAUAAACUUCCACUGUUAUGCUGACAUACUCAGUUAUAUUUAUCCAUUAACCCUGAUGAACCUAAUCGGUUGGAUAGAUUACAGGCUUGUCUUGAGGACAUAAAAAAUUGGAUGACUCUAAACUUUUUGAUUUUAAAUCAAGACAAGACGGAAGUUCUCAUCUUUGGACCAGAAAUCCAGAAAAGGAAAUUGCUUAGCCAGUCGCCUGACCUGAAUGGCAUUACAUUAAUCUCCGAGAACAAAGUAAGGACCCUUGGUGUUAUCUUUAACCAGGACAUGUCAUUCAAUUCCCAGGUUAAACAGGUUUGUAGGAUUUCCUUUUUCCACCUUCAGAAUAUUGCUAAGAUUAGAAGCAUCCUUUCCAGGAGUGAUGCUGAAAAACUAGUUCAUGCAUUUAUUACAUCAAGACUGGAUUACUGUAAUUCUUUACUCUCAGGAAGUCCACAGAAUGUAGUUAAAAGUCUUCAGCUUGUCCAAAAUGCUGCAGCUAGAGUUCUGAUGAGAAUUAAAAAGAGAGAUCAUAUCUCUCCUGUCUUAGCUUCCCUACAUUGGCUACCUGUUAAAUUCAGAAUAGAUUUUAAGAUCCUUCAUCUCACAUAUAAAGCUCUUAAUAAUCAAGCUCCAACAUACAUCAGUGUUCUGAUUGUUCCAAAUGUUCCUAACUGAGCACUUCGCUCUCAGACUGCAGGUUUACUGGUGGUUCCCAGAAUAUCUAAAAUUAGGAUGGGAGGCAGAUCUUUUAGUUAUCAGGCUCCUCUCCUGUGGAACCAGCUUCCAGCUUUAGUCCGUGAGGCAGACACCUUGUCUACUUUUAAGAAUAGGCUUAAAACAUUUUUAUUUGAUAGGGCCUAUGGUUAAAAUCCGAUGUUAGCCUAGAUCUGGACAAGUGGGGGAGUAGAGGGAGGUGGAGUGUACAGUCAGUAAAGACGGCUCUCCCUUGCCCUGCCUCCAUCAUGCCUCCAUCUAAAUAGGAUAGAUUAUCCUGAGUUACCUCUUUAGUUAUGCUGCUAUAGGCUUAGACUGCUGGAGGAUACACUGACCACUUUCCACACUCUACUGCUUUCUUCUACUAUCUGCUCUUUAACUGUAUUAUUUCCUGCAAUUUCAGCUGUUAACUUUAUUUUCUCUGUAAGUGUUUUUCUCCCCAGAAGAAGCUACAACGAUGUUCUGCUGAGCUGUGGUGGCCUCAUGGAGGGGGCCAUCGACUAGCACACUGCUGCUAACCACUUAAACAUUCUCCUUCUCCUGAUAAUAACUUUUGGCUUUCCUUCACGUUGGAUGUGCUACUACUAGUUUACCCGUUUAAUUAUAGAUUCACUAGGAUAAAUACAAUAAAGUUUAUCUCUCACCAAAUAGAAUAUUUACUAAGACAUCACAAUAUAACUAUAAACACAUUACUUGUCUUUGUGUGUGAGUGUGUGUGUGCGUGCGUGCGUGCAUGUGUGUGUGUGUGUGUGUGUGUGUGUGUGUGUGUGUGUGUGUGUGUGUGUGUGUGUGUGUGUGUGUGUGUGUGUGUGUGUGUGUGUGUGUGUGUGUGUGUGUGUGUGUGUGUGUGUGUGUGUGUCUGCUCUGUCUUCUUGAUCCCCAGUGAGUCGUGGAGGAUGGCUGCUUAUACUGAGCUGGGAUUCUCUGGAGGUUUCUUCCUGUUAAAAGGGAGUUUCCCUCUCCACUGUCGCUUUAUCAGGGUGUCCGCGGGGUUUUAAAAAGUAUUAAAAAGUGAUAAAUAAAAAUAGUCAAAUUUAAGGCCAUUAAAAGUGUUAAAUUUGGUCUCAGAGGUAUUAUUUUUUCCAAAUUAGGUAUUAUUUUUUUCAGACUAUCAGAUGUCGUAUUCUGAACAUCGACAUAGAAAUAUAUUCCGAAUGAAAUGUUUUGAACGAUUAUAAAAACAAAACAAGCCGAUUAUUUGCUCCUCCCACUUGCGCUGCCUUGAGUUGCAAAUGAAGCGCUCCUCCCAGUGUUGCCAAGUUAACUUAGCGACUUUGACACUAUUUCUAGCAGCUUCUCAGACCCCCUUCUUGACUUUUUAACUUAAAAGUACCUAGCGAACAUCUCAGAAACAUCUCUGGUAACCCUUAGCUACUUUCUGGAUAACUGUCGUCGACAUUUCCUGUAGGUUAGCUAAACACUCCGCCUGCACUCCGGACCGUUCUUCAGGACAUUAGGAAAGGGAAUGAUGUAGUGAUGUGUCAGUCGCUAAAGAAACAGCUCUCGGAGCCGACUCUCUGUUGGAGUAACCAGAGUGAGUGACACACACACCGCACCUGCGGACUCCUGAGCCGAUAAAAACAGCUAAAUGUGCGCGUGUGGCGCGCUAAACACACGUGCAGCGUGCCCCUGAUUGCUGUGAGACCGGGUUGGGGGUGGGGGUGCAGCUGUGGUUGGGACAAUUAUUACAUUAACUGAUGGACUUGUAAAUAAAUAGUUUAUAAAUAAGGUAGAAAUAAGUUCCUCACGCUGAUAAAUAACUAAUCUCUCUGAGGACACGGUGCUAGUGCACUCCUACAGCACCUUGACAUGACUCAAUAAAUGCUAUGCAACAUUUAGUGAACAGCAAUUUGCAUGUAUUUGUUAUAAAUGCCACUGUAUAAUUCUUGCUGUCAGUAUUUGCAAGAUGUUGGUAUUUGGGUCUGUACUGGUUAGACUGAAAUGAGUUAAACCAAGGUCUAUAGCCCUUGGGUCAUAAACUAUGAGCUAUAAGUAUAUUGGUCUUUUUAUACUGGGAAUCAGGAGUUAUUUUAGUGAUCAUCUUGUUUCUUGUUUAUUUUUGCCCUGAUUGUGCCCUGAGCAGUUUUAUGACUGAAUAAAAAUAAAAAAAUAAAAAUCUACAUAAAUUGAAAAAUCGUCUUACAUAAUCGAGAUCUCAAUUUCAGUCACAAUAAUCGUGAUUAUUGUUUUUGCCAUAAUCGAGCAGCCCUACUUUAGCAUAUCCGGUCACAUAAUGAUGACGUCAUAUUCAGUGGUCGUUGUGCAUCAUUUCAGGCCUCGUGGUCAACUGUCUGAACCGCUGAACAGAAGUGCCUGGCUUAUUUUCUAAGUAAAAUAAAUAUGUGCAAUACGUUGUCAACA